rnacentral:rRNA from 1 species
UACAGAGGGGGCAAGCGUUGUUCGGAAUUACUGGGCGUAAAGGGCGCGUAGGCGGCCCUCUAAGUCAGACGUGAAAUCCCCGGGCUUAACCCGGGAACUGCGUCUGAGACUGGAGGGCUUGAGUUCGGGAGAGGGAAGUGGAAUUCCAGGUGUAGCGGUGAAAUGCGUAGAUAUCUGGAGGAACACCGGUGGCGAAGGCGGCUUCCUGGACCGAAACUGACGCUGAGGCGCGAAAGCCAGGGGAGCAAACGGG